UGAGGAAUAUUGGUCAAUGGGCGGAAGCCUGAACCAGCCAAGUAGCGUGAGGGAUGACUGCCCUACGGGCUGUAAACCUCUUUUGUUUGGGAAUAAAGUGCGGGACGUGUCCCGCAUUGCAUGUACCAUUUGAAUAAGGACCGGCUAAUUCCGUGCCAGCAGCCGCGGUAAUACGGAAGGUCCAGGCGUUAUCCGGAUUUAUUGGGUUUAAAGGGAGCGUAGGCGGAUUUUUAAGUCAGUUGUGAAAGUUUGAGGCUCAACCUUAAAAUUGCAGUUGAAACUGGAAGUCUUGAGUGCACGCAGAGGUGCCGGAAUUCAUGGUGUAGCGGUGAAAUGCUUAGAUAUCAUGAAGAACUCCGAUCGCGAAGGCAAGUGCCUGGAGUGCUACUGACGCUGAGGCUCGAAAGUGCGGGUAUCAAACAGGAUUAGAUACCCUGGUAGU
rnacentral:rRNA from 1 species